AUGGCAGAACCAACCACCGCCGAUCUGGCCAAGAUGAUCGAGGCCUUGACUGCAACGGUGGCGUCCCUGCAGAUGUCCGUCGCCGCACUCCAGAAGGACAAGUCCGCCUCCUCGUCGAGCGCUGACAGCGCCCACGAUGGGCAGCACCACAAUGAUCGACCGCCCCGGUUUCAGAAGAUGGACUUCCCCAAGUUCGAUGGCAAGUCCGAUCCUCUCGCAUUCAUCAACAAAUGCGAGUCCUUCUUCCAUCAACAACGGAUCGCCGAGGAGAAAGUGUGGAUGGCGUCAUACAAUCUCGAGGGUACUGCCCAACUAUGGUAUAUGCAGGUCCAGCGCGAUGAGGGCACGCCUUCGUGGCGCCGCUUCACCGAGCUGCUCAAUCUUCGCUUCGGGCCACCUCUGCGCGCUAACCCGCUGGGCGAACUAAUGGAGUGCAAGCGCACGACCUCAGUCGUCGACUUCCAGGAGCGGUUCGAGGCGCUCCUUCCCCGGGCAGGCAGCUUAUCCGAGACACAGAAGGUUCAGAUCUUCACCGCGGGACUCCAGCCACCCCUCAGCCUCGACAUGGAAAUCCACAACCCGCAGUCCCUCGCCGUCGCCAUGAGCCUCGCCCGCAAAUUGGAGCUGCGCGACCAGUGCGCGCUCGCCUCCGCGCCGCCGGUGCGUUUUCAGCAGAAGGGCAUCCUGCCGGCGCCCGUACCACGUCUCGCGCCCCCCGCACCGGCUCCACCAGCCGCACCCCAGCAUGGCCCCAGUCUGCCGGAAGGGCGCCAAAUCAAACGCCUGUCACAGGCAGAGAUGGAGGAAUGA
rnacentral:rRNA from 1 species